AGAACGAACGCUGGCGGCGUGCUUAACACAUGCAAGUCGAGUGCACAGUUUGUAGCAAUACAGGCCGGUGCACGGCGCACGGGUGCGUAACACGUGGGCAAUCUGCCCUCCGAUGGGGAAUAACCCCGCGAAAGCGGGGCUAAUUCCGCAUAAAAUUCCCUGGACUUCGGUUUGGGGAUUCAAAGCCGUAAGGCGUCGGAGGAGGAGCCCGCGCCCGAUUAGCCAGUUGGUGAGGUAAUGGCUCACCAAGGCAAUGAUCGGUAGCUGGUCUGAGAGGAUGGCCAGCCACACUGGAACUGAGACACGGUCCAGACUCCUACGGGAGGCAGCAGUGGGGAAUCUUGCGCAAUGGGCGAAAGCCUGACGCAGCGACGCCGCGUGGGGGAUGAAGCUUCUCGGAGUGUAAACCCCUUUCGACUGGGACGAAUGCCUCGCAAGAGGAGUGACGGUACCAGUAGAAGAAGCCCCGGCUAACUACGUGCCAGCAGCCGCGGUAAGACGUAGGGGGCCAGCGUUGUUCGGAAUUACUGGGUGUAAAGGGUUCGUAGGCGGUGCGGCAAGUUGGGAGUGAAAUCUCUGGGCUUAACCCAGAGGCUGCUUCCAAAACUGCUGUGCUUGAGUGUGGGAGAGGCGCGUGGAAUUGCAGGUGUAGCGGUGAAAUGCGUAGAUAUCUGCAGGAACACCCGUGGCGAAAGCGGCGCGCUGGACCACAACUGACGCUGAGGAACGAAAGCUAGGGGAGCAAACAGGAUUAGAUACCCUGGUAGUCCUAGCUGUAAACGAUGUGAACUUGGCGUCGGUGGCUUAAACACUAUCGGUGCCGAAGCAAACGCGAUAAGUUCACCGCCUGGGGACUACGAUCGCAAGAUUAAA
rnacentral:rRNA from 1 species